GAUUGUCUAAAAAUUUAAUAAUAAAUGACGUAAGUUACACUAUUUUACUAUUAAUUAUUAAUUUAUUAUUUGGUAAACCACUAUUUAUAUAUGAUAUGGGCUACAGCCUCGUACCUAAUCCAUAAUCAAACUUUUAUCUGUAUUAUUUCAUCAUCACUAGUCGACUGUGUUCAAAGUUCGAGAAUACAUCAACACAACAUGAUCUUUCUAUUUAUCUCUCUUAUCACUAUUUGCAAUGCAAACAAUGAUUAUAAAAUUCGACUUUCACAAUCUCUCUGUUUGGUUUCCACGAAUUACGAUACUACAAUUCUUGACCUAAGCACCUAACAACGUAAUAUAGAUGGCAGCGGUAGAGGUUUGUGGAUUUUGGAUAGUGUACAGUCUACAGAUGAGUCUGCUUAGCACUUUAUGAUAAACGAAUAAAGCUCUAUCACUUUUUAUUUCAUGAUUUUUAAAAUCUAAAUCUCAAAUUAUAUUCUUUAAUAAUGACUCCAACGUUCCACUGACUAAUCAGCACAGCAGAAUGCAGGAAAAUGGGAUGUGUCUGCAGCAAGCAUACUGAUAACCAUCCUACUAUAUUUCAGGUGGUAAACGUGGACGAGGAAGGCCAAAAAACUGCACGACGGUC